GACAGAGGGGGCAAGCGUUGCUCGGAAUUACUGGGCGUAAAGGGCGCGUAGGCGGGAUGGCAAGUCGGUCGUGAAAUCCCUCGGCUCAACUGAGGAGCGUCGAUCGAACUGCCGUUCUUGAGGGUUGCAGAGGAGACUGGAAUUCCCGGUGGUAGCGGUGAAAUGUGUAGAGAUCGGGAGGAACACCGGUGGCGAAGGCGGGUCUCUGGGCGAACUCCUGGACGGCUGAGGCGCGAAAAGCGUGGGGAGCAAAGCGGGG
rnacentral:rRNA from 1 species